GAUGAACGCUGGCGGCGUGCCUAAUACAUGCAAGUCGAGCGAAUGGAUUAAGAGCUUGCUCUUAUGAAGUUAGCGGCGGACGGGUGAGUAACACGUGGGUAACCUGCCCAUAAGACUGGGAUAACUCCGGGAAACCGGGGCUAAUACCGGAUAAUAUUUUGAACUGCAUGGUUCAAAAUUGAAAGGCGGCUUCGGCUGUCACUUAUGGAUGGACCCGCGUCGCAUUAGCUAGUUGGUGAGGUAACGGCUCACCAAGGCAACGAUGCGUAGCCGACCUGGGAGGGUGAUCGGCCAACCUAGGACGGAGACACGGCCCAGACUCCUACGGGAGGCAGCAGUAGGGAAUCUUCCGCAAUGGACGAAAGUCUGACGGAGCAACGCCGCGUGAGUGAUGAAGGCUUUUGGGUCGUAAAACUCUGUUGUUAGGGAAGAACAAGUGCUAGUUGAAUAAGCUGGCACCUUGACGGUACCUAACCAGAAAGCCACGGCUAACUACGUGCCAGCCGCCGCCGUAA
rnacentral:rRNA from 1 species